rnacentral:piRNA from 9 species
AGCUACAUCUGGCUACUGGGUCUCA